rnacentral:rRNA from 1 species
UGUUUCGACACACUAUCAUUAACUGAAUCCAUAGGUUAAUGAGGCGAACCGGGGGAACUGAAACAUCUAAGUACCCCGAGGAAAAGAAAUCAACCGAGAUUCCCCCAGUAGCGGCGAGCGAACGGGGAGCAGCCCAGAGCCUGAAUCAGUAUGUGUGUUAGUGGAAGCGUCUGGAAAGGCGCGCGAUACAGGGUGACAGCCCCGUACACAAAAAUGCACAUGCUGUGAGCUCGAUGAGUAGGGCGGGACACGUGGUAUCCUGUCUGAAUAUGGGGGGACCAUCCUCCAAGGCUAAAUACUCCUGACUGACCGAUAGUGAACCAGUACCGUGAGGGAAAGGCGAAAAGAACCCCGGCGAGGGGAGUGAAAAAGAACCUGAAACCGUGUACGUACAAGCAGUGGGAGCACGCUUAGGCGUGUGACUGCGUACCUUUUGUAUAAUGGGUCAGCGACUUAUAUUCUGUAGCAAGGUUAACCGAAUAGGGGAGCCGAAGGGAAACCGAGUCUUAACUGGGCGUUAAGUUGCAGGGUAUAGACCCGAAACCCGGUGAUCUAGCCAUGGGCAGGUUGAAGGUUGGGUAACACUAACUGGAGGACCGAACCGACUAAUGUUGAAAAAUUAGCGGAUGACUUGUGGCUGGGGGUGAAAGGCCAAUCAAACCGGGAGAUAGCUGGUUCUCCCCGAAAGCUAUUUAGGUAGCGCCUCGUGAAUUCAUCUCCGGGGGUAGAGCACUGUUUCGGCAAGGGGGUCAUCCCGACUUACCAACCCGAUGCAAACUGCGAAUACCGGAGAAUGUUAUCACGGGAGACACACGGCGGGUGCUAACGUCCGUCGUGAAGAGGGAAACAACCCAGACCGCCAGCUAAGGUCCCAAAGUCAUGGUUAAGUGGGAAACGAUGUGGGAAGGCCCAGACAGCCAGGAUGUUGGCUUAGAAGCAGCCAUCAUUUAAAGAAAGCGUAAUAGCUCACUGGUCGAGUCGGCCUGCGCGGAAGAUGUAACGGGGCUAAACCAUGCACCGAAGCUGCGGCAGCGACGCUGAUGCGUUGUUGGGUAGGGGAGCGUUCUGUAAGCCUGCGAAGGUGUGCUGUGAGGCAUGCUGGAGGUAUCAGAAGUGCGAAUGCUGACAUAAGUAACGAUAAAGCGGGUGAAAAGCCCGCUCGCCGGAAGACCAAGGGUUCCUGUCCAACGUUAAUCGGGGCAGGGUGAGUCGACCCCUAAGGCGAGGCCGAAAGGCGUAGUCGAUGGGAAACAGGUUAAUAUUCCUGUACUUGGUGUUACUGCGAAGGGGGGACGGAGAAGGCUAUGUUGGCCGGGCGACGGUUGUCCCGGUUUAAGCGUGUAGGCUGGUUUUCCAGGCAAAUCCGGAAAAUCAAGGCUGAGGCGUGAUGACGAGGCACUGCGGUGCUGAAGCAACAAAUGCCCUGCUUCCAGGAAAAGCCUCUAAGCAUCAGGUAACAUCAAAUCGUACCCCAAACCGACACAGGUGGUCAGGUAGAGAAUACCAAGGCGCUUGAGAGAACUCGGGUGAAGGAACUAGGCAAAAUGGUGCCGUAACUUCGGGAGAAGGCACGCUGAUAUGUAGGUGAAGUCCCUCGCGGAUGGAGCUGAAAUCAGUCGAAGAUACCAGCUGGCUGCAACUGUUUAUUAAAAACACAGCACUGUGCAAACACGAAAGUGGACGUAUACGGUGUGACGCCUGCCCGGUGCCGGAAGGUUAAUUGAUGGGGUUAGCGCAAGCGAAGCUCUUGAUCGAAGCCCCGGUAAACGGCGGCCGUAACUAUAACGGUCCUAAGGUAGCGAAAUUCCUUGUCGGGUAAGUUCCGACCUGCACGAAUGGCGUAAUGAUGGCCAGGCUGUCUCCACCCGAGACUCAGUGAAAUUGAACUCGCUGUGAAGAUGCAGUGUACCCGCGGCAAGACGGAAAGACCCCGUGAACCUUUACUAUAGCUUGACACUGAACAUUGAGCCUUGAUG